rnacentral:rRNA from 1 species
GCUAAGAAUAUUCCGCAAUGGACGAAAGUCUGACGGAGCGACGCCGCGUGGAUGAUGAAGGCCGAAAGGUUGUAAAGUCCUUUUGCUGGGGAAGAAUAAGCAUGGGAGGUAAUGCCCGUGCGAUGACAUGAACCGGCGAAUAAGCCCCGGCUAACUACGUGCCAGCAGCCGCGGUAACACGUAGGGGGCGAGCGUUGUUCGGAAUUACUGGGCGUAAAGGGCAUGUAGGCGGCUUGGUAAGCCUGGCGUGAAAGUCACCGGCUCAACCGGUGGAUUGCGUUGGGUACUGCUGAGCUUGAAUCACGGAGAGGGAGCUAGAAUUCCAGGUGUAGGGGUGAAAUCUGUAGAGAUCUGGAAGAAUACCAGUGGCGAAGGCGAGCUCCUGGCCGAUGAUUGACGCUGAGGUGCGAAAGUGUGGGGAUCAAACAGGAUUAGAUACCCGGGUAGUCC